CCUACGGGUGGCAGCAGUGAGGAAUAUUGGUCAAUGGACGAGAGUCUGAACCAGCCAAGUAGCGUGAAGGAUGACUGCCCUAUGGGUUGUAAACUUCUUUUAUAUGGGAAUAAAAUGUUCCACGUGUGGGAUUUUGUAUGUACCAUAUGAAUAAGGAUCGGCUAACUCCGUGCCAGCAGCCGCGGUAAUACGGAGGAUCCGAGCGUUAUCCGGAUUUAUUGGGUUUAAAGGGAGCGUAGGUGGAUUGUUAAGUCAGUUGUGAAAGUUUGCGGCUCAACCGUAAAAUUGCAGUUGAAACUGGCAGUCUUGAGUACAGUAGAGGUGGGCGGAAUUCGUGGUGUAGCGGUGAAAUGCUUAGAUAUCAGGAAGAACUCCGAUUGCGAAGGCAGUUCACUGGACUGCAACUGACACUGAGGCUCGAAAGUGUGGGUAUCAAACAGGAUUAGAUACCCGAGUAGUC
rnacentral:rRNA from 1 species